rnacentral:sRNA from 2 species
ACGGGUGGCACGCCGAAUCCCUGCCCCCAACCGCCGGAAACAGAAACCCGAUGGCAGGAGCGGGGGAACCAAAUCCCGGGCGCCGAUGUCAGGCGUCCUUGGGGUGAAGCCGCGAAGCUGACGACACCGAUGAAGAAAAUUCUUCCUCGCUGCCGAAGGCACAGGAUUUCCGGAGUUCCUGGCACGCGGCCGGGCUUGUUCCCUGCCCGAACCCGACAGCUCACCUCGCAGGCGUGGGGAAGGAAAACU